rnacentral:rRNA from 1 species
AUACGGAAGGCAGCAGUGGGGAAUCUUCCGCAAUGGGCGAAAGCCUGACGGAGCAACGCCGCGUGAGUGAUGAAGGCCUUCGGGUUGUAAAACUCUGUCUUCAGGGAAGAAACAAAUGACGGUACCUGAGGAGGAAGCCACGGCUAACUACGUGCCAGCAGCCGCGGUAAUACGUAGGUGGCAAGCGUUGUCCGGAAUUACUGGGCGUAAAGAGCGCGUAGGCGGGGAUUUAAGUCAGGAGUGAAAACUACCGGCUCAACCGGUAGCCUGCUCUUGAAACUGAAUUUCUUGAGGGCAUGAGAGGAAAGCGGAAUUCCCAGUGUAGCGGUGAAAUGCGUAGAUAUUGGGAGGAACACCAGUGGCGAAGGCGGCUUUCUGGCAUACAACUGACGCUGAGGCGCGAAAGCGUGGGGAGCAAACGGGAUUAGAUACCCUGGUAGG